GAUUAACCGGAGGUUACUGAGGCGGCUGGGUGGGGGAGGGUUAACUCGAAUUACCUAAACAAUUAUAUUCAUAAAUUUAUCAAUAUUAAAAUAAAACAAGGAAGUUAAAGAGUCAAAGGCAUCCUAUAUUUAUGCCGAAAAUCCGGCCGAGUUUCUCUUGCACCUAGAACUUAUUCAACCUGCAAAGCAAUUCAAAUAACACUUUCAAAUCCAAUGGCCUCAGGCCCAUAUCACAACUGCAUCAUACUGCCUCUCUUGGGCUCGCCAAACAAGUCAAAACUCAUAUAACUACAUAAUUUAGCUAUUAAGUUUAAAAUUUACAUUUUGUAAAAAUUAUCCAAACUAACCCAAAAAAUUCUAUAAUCAUGUCCCGUAGUUCUUAGCGAUGCUAUUAUACUAUUGUAAAAGGAAUUAUAGUUUUCUGGCUACCCACGAAUAUUUUAUAAAUUUUUAUUUUAAAUCUAGCAUUAGACAGAAAAGGCAUUUUGGAAUUUGGGUUCACUUAUGCUAAUUCUAACAUCUGGAACGUGUCUGGGGCGUUUGAAAAUGGUGAAAAGCAUUGUAAUACCAACAAUCCAUCUAUUCGGCCCAAAAAUGCAGUUCCGGUCGCCGGUGGAAUUUCCUCAAAACAAGAACAUCUACGCGAAGCUCACAAUAUCAGAAGUUAGAAUGUAAUUUUUAUUUAAUUAAAAAGCCCCAUCAAAGACCAAAAAAUCAUUGCUAAAUUCGUGGGACCCACUAGAUUUUCGGUGUCAGAAAAAUUUUAAAUUAGUGUCGUUGAGAAGCUCUCGACGAGUGGAGCGUG
rnacentral:misc_RNA from 1 species